GACGAACGCUGUCGGCGGGCUUAACACAUGCAAGUCGAACGGAAAGGCCCUGCUUUUGUGGGGUGCUCGAGUGGCGAACGGGUGAGUAACACGUGAGUAACCUGCCCUUGACUUUGGGAUGACUUCAGGAAACUGGGGCUAAUACCGGAUAGGAGCUCCUGCUGCAUGGUGGGGGUUGGAAAGUUUCGGCGGUUGGGGAUGGACUCGCGGCUUAUCAGCUUGUUGGUGGGGUAGUGGCUUACCAAGGCUUUGACGGGUAGCCGGCCUGAGAGGGUGACCGGCCACAUUGGGACUGAGAUACGGCCCAGACUCCUACGGGAGGCAGCAGUGGGGAAUAUUGCACAAUGGGCGGAAGCCUGAUGCAGCAACGCCGCGUGCGGGAUGACGGCCUUCGGGUUGUAAACCGCUUUCGCCUGUGACGAAGCGUGAGUGACGGUAAUGGGUAAAGAAGCACCGGCUAACUACGUGCCAGCAGCCGCGGUGAUACGUAGGGUGCGAGCGUUGUCCGGAUUUAUUGGGCGUAAAGGGCUCGUAGGUGGUUGAUCGCGUCGGAAGUGUAAUCUUGGGGCUUAACCCUGAGCGUGCUUUCGAUACGGGUUGACUUGAGGAAGGUAGGGGAGAAUGGAAUUCCUGGUGGAGCGGUGGAAUGCGCAGAUAUCAGGAGGAACACCAGUGGCGAAGGCGGUUCUCUGGGCCUUUCCUGACGCUGAGGAGCGAAAGCGUGGGGAGCGAACAGGCUUAGAUACCCUGGUAGUCCACGCUGUAAACGGUGGGUACUAGGUGUGGGGUCCAUUCCACGGGUUCCGUGCCGUAGCUAACGCUUUAAGUACCCCGCCUGGGGAGUACGGCCGCAAGGCUAAAACUCAAAGGAAUUGACGGGGCCCCGCACAAGCGGCGGAGCAUGCGGAUUAAUUCGAUGCAACGCGUAGAACCUUACCUGGGUUUGACAUGGGUCGGGAGUGCUCAGAGAUGGGUGUGCCUCUUUUGGGGUCGGUUCACAGGUGGUGCAUGGCUGUCGUCAGCUCGUGUCGUGAGAUGUUGGGUUAAGUCCCGCAACGAGCGCAACCCUUGUUCACUGUUGCCAGCACGUUAUGGUGGGGACUCAGUGGAGACCGCCGGGGUCAACUCGGAGGAAGGUGGGGAUGACGUCAAGUCAUCAUGCCCCUUAUGUCCAGGGCUUCACGCAUGCUACAAUGGCUGGUACAGAGAGUGGCGAGCCUGUGAGGGUGAGCGAAUCUCGGAAAGCCGGUCUCAGUUCGGAUUGGGGUCUGCAACUCGACCUCAUGAAGUCGGAGUCGCUAGUAAUCGCAGAUCAGCAACGCUGCGGUGAAUACGUUCCCGGGGCU
rnacentral:rRNA from 1 species